AGAGUUUGAUCAUGGCUCAGGAUGAACGCUAGCGGGAGGCCUAACACAUGCAAGCCGAGCGGUAGAGAUCUUUCGGGAUCUUGAGAGCGGCGUACGGGUGCGGAACACGUGUGCAACCUGCCUUUAUCUGGGGGAUAGCCUUUCGAAAGGAAGAUUAAUACCCCAUAAUAUGUUGGAUGGCAUCAUUCGACAUUGAAAACUCCGGUGGAUAGAGAUGGGCACGCGCAAGAUUAGAUAGUUGGUGAGGUAACGGCUCACCAAGUCUGCGAUCUUUAGGGGGCCUGAGAGGGUGAUCCCCCACACUGGUACUGAGACACGGACCAGACUCCUACGGGAGGCAGCAGUGAGGAAUAUUGGACAAUGGGUGAGAGCCUGAUCCAGCCAUCCCGCGUGAAGGACGACGGCCCUAUGGGUUGUAAACUUCUUUUGUAUAGGGAUAAACCUACUCUCGUGAGAGUAGCUGAAGGUACUAUACGAAUAAGCACCGGCUAACUCCGUGCCAGCAGCCGCGGUAAUUC
rnacentral:rRNA from 1 species